GGGCCUGUAGCUCAGAAGGAUUAGAGCACGUGGCUACGAACCACGGUGUCGGGGGUUCGAGUCCCUCCUCGCCCA
rnacentral:tRNA from 25 species